UACGAAGGGUGCUAGCGUUGCUCGGAAUCACUGGGCGUAAAGGGCGCGUAGGCGGCCAUUCAAGUCGGAGGUGAAAGCCCAGGGCUCAACCCUGGAAUUGCCUUCGAUACUGCCUGGCUAGAGACCGGAAGAGGUAAGUGGAACUGCGAGUGUAGAGGUGAAAUUCGUAGAUAUUCGCAAGAACACCAGUGGCGAAGGCGGCUUGCUGGUCCGGUUCUGACGCUGAGGCGCGAAAGCGUGGGGAGCAAACGGG
rnacentral:rRNA from 1 species